UACGAAGGGGGGCUAGCGUUGUUCGGAUUUACUGGGCGUAAAGCGCACGUAGGCGGAUUGUUAAGUCAGGGGUGAAAUCCUGGAGCUCAACUCCAGAACUGCCUUUGAUACUGGCAAUCUCGAGUCCGGAAGAGGUAAGUGGAACUCCUAGUGUAGAGGUGGAAUUCGUAGAUAUUAGGAAGAACACCAGUGGCGAAGGCGGCUUACUGGUCCGGUACUGACGCUGAGGUGCGAAAGCGUGGGGAGCAAACAGG
rnacentral:rRNA from 1 species